rnacentral:lncRNA from 1 species
GCCUGCAGGGUCUGCUGAAUCUAGCUUUGCAGCUCUGUACUGUGACAGAGGGCCACUGUCUAAGGGCAGCCAUCGUCUUUGAAGGCACUGCUAUUUCCCUUGGCCUGGUAGGAAAGUAGAGCAUGGAUUCCCUCUUCUCCAGGAACUUGGCCAGUGUCCAUGCCUUUCCUAGCAGCCCUUCCUACCUCUUCUCUCCAGGACAGUCUGCUCAGUGUAGCCCAGGCUUUCUCUAGAGACAGGAAGCCUGUUUGUCUUUGGUAGUUUCAGCUUUCCACAUUGGAAAAGCCUCUGAGUUGAGGAAAUACAGGGUGCUUGACAAAGGAAGGCUUAGGAGAGGUAGAGGAGAGGAAAGAGAAAGAUAAAGAACUUUUUUUUUUUUUUUGCUUUUUACAGCCACACAUGCAGCAUAUGGAAGUUCCCAGUUUAAGGGUUGAAUUGGAGCUGUAGCCACCAGCCUACACCACAGCCACAGCAACACGGAAUCUGAACUGCAUCUGCAACCUACACCACAGCUCAUGGCAGUGCUGGGUGCUUAACCCACUUAGCAAGGGCAGGGAUUGAACCUGUGUCCUCGUGAUUAUACUAGUUGGGUUUGUUACCACUGAGCCAGAACAGAAAUUCCGAGAAAGAAUUUUUAACAUUUUCAUUUACUGCUUGUUGUCAUCAAUACUUGUCCUAUUCAUGUCUGGCUUCAUAUUUUGAGAGCAUUUCUAUAAUUAGAGAAAUUUCCACAUCAUGGAUCCAUCUCCCCAGGGUCAAAAGUGAAAAUUCAGUUUCCAGCCUCUUCUGCCACUUGGACUUCAGAUCUCCAGGUGGAAGCACAUAGGUGAGACCAUGACUUGGAAGAGAACCAUGUGAAAAACUGGCCCUGUGCACAGCAGGUGUGGCUUUGGGGGAAUAAUAUUGUUGUAGGGUUGGGUGCCCUGCUGAGUAGCAGUAAGGUUCUGGCGUUUAGGGUUUAAUGAAGGGAUAGAUGCAGCAGCGUUUUGAUCAAGCCAGUUCUGCAGUAUAGUUUUGGAUGUUUUCUUAGAAAUUUAACCUUGAGCUUGUUUCUCUGGCUAUCUCUGAUUCUGUGAACUUCCCCGGAUCCUUUUUUUUUUAAUUAAAAAAACUGAUUUAUUGAGGUAUAAUUUACAUAUAAUGAAAUACUCCCUUUGGGGUUUAUUGUUUGUUGGAUUUUGACAAAUGUUUACACUGUUCUAAUAAUCACCACAGUUGUGAUGUUGAAUACUUCUUUCACCCCUGCAGUCUUCUUUGUGCCCCCUUUCCUCUCUGCCUCAGCUCCAGCCCAUUUUCUGCCACUAUGGUUUUCCCUUUUCCAUAAUACUGAUUUUUUCAAAAUGUGGAUACAUACUGUAUAUAGUUUUUGUUUCUGGGUUCUCUCACUUUGUGUAAUGCCUUAGAUAUUUAUCCAUGUUGUGUGUGUCAGUACUUUGCUCCUUUUUGUUAAUAAGUAAUUUUCUAGUAUAUGGCUAUGCCACAGUUGCUUUAUCCAUCCGCAAGCUGCUGGGUGUUUGAGUUGUUUCCAGGCUUUUUUUUUUUUUUUUUCCUCUUGUGAAUAGAAAUGCUAUGAACACUUGGAGAUAGUUGUCUUAUUUUGUGUGUGAGUGUAUGUUUUUACAUCUCUUGGAUAAACACCUAGGAUUGGAAUUGCUGGAUAUUAUGGUUAAGUGUGUGUUUAACUUUGUUAGAAGCUGUGGAAAUAUCCCAAAUGACUGUACGACUUUGUAGGUUCCCUCUUCUCCACAUCCCCUCCACUCUCCAGCAUUUGUUGUUUGUUGACUUGUUAAUGAUGGCCACUCUAACUGGUGUGAGAUGGUGCCUCAUUAUAGUUGAUUUACAUUUCUCUAAAUUAGUGAUGUUGAGCAUUUUUUCACGUGCCUGCUGGCUCUAUGUCUUCUUUGGAGAAAUGUCUAUUCAGGUCUUCUGCCCAUUUUUCAGUUGGGUGGUUUAUUUUUUUGGUAUGAGAUGUUUGUAUAUUUUGGAGAUUAAGUCUUUGUUGGUUGUAUCAUUUGCAGAUUUUCUUCCAUUCUGUAGGUUGUCUUUUUUUUUUUUUUAAAUGAUUUCCUUUGCUGUUCAAAAGCUUUGGAGUUUAAUUAGGUCCCAUUGGUUUAUUUUUCUCUUUAUUGUCAUUAUUCUAGGAAGUGGAUGAAACAGGAUGUUGCUGAGAUUUAUGUUAAAGAGUGUUCUGCCUAUGUUUUCUGCUAGGAGUUUUAUAGUAUCUGGCCUUACAUUUAGGUCUUUAGUCCAUUCGAGUUUAUUUUUGUGUCUGUUAUUAGAGAAUGUUCUAAUUUCAUUUUUUUAAUGCAGCUGUCCAGUUUUUUUUUUUUUUUUUGGCUAUUUAGGGAUGCACCCAAGACAUAUGGAGGUUUCCAGCCUAGGGGUUGAAGUGGAGCUACAGCUGCCAGCCUACACCACAGCCACAGCAAUGACAAAUCUGAGCCAUGUCUGAGACCUACACCAUAGCUCACAGAAGUGCCAGAUCCUUAACCCAUUGAACAAGGCCAGGGAUAGAACCUGCAACCUAAUGGUUCCUAGUUGGAUUUGUUUACACUGCGCCACUAUGGGAACUCCCCCAGCACCACUUAUUGAAGAGACUUCCUCCACUGUAUGUUCUUGCCUCCUUUGUCAUAGGUGCUUGGGUUUCUUUCUGGGCUUCCCUGUUGCAUUGAUGUAUAUUUCUGUUUUUGUGCCAGUACCAUACUGUUUUGAUGACUGUAGCUUUGAAGUAUAGUCUGAGGUCAGGGAGCCUGAUUCCUCCAGUUCUGUUUUUUCUUUUCAAUAUUGCUUUGGAUAUUUUAGGUCUUUUGUGUUUCUGUACAAAUUUUUAAAUAGUUUGUUCUAGUUCUCUAAAGAGUGUCCUUGGUAAUUUGAUAGAGAUUGCAUUGGGAUCUGUAGAUAGUAUUAUCAUUUUGACUAUAUUGAUUCUUCCAAUCCAAGAGCAUGGUAUAUCUUUCCAUCUAUUUGGGUCUUACACAAAUCUUUGAUUUCUUUCAUUAGUGUCUUAUAGUUUUCAGAGUACAAGUCUUUUAUCUUUUUAGGUAGGUUUAUUCGUAGGUAUUCUCUUCUUUUUGAUGAGAUGGUAAAAGGGACAGUUUCCCUAAUUUUGCUUUCUGAUCUUUGAUUGUUAAUAUAUAGAAAGGCAAUCGAUUUCUGUGCAUUAAUUUUGUAUCCUGCAACUUUACUAAAUUCAUUUGAUGAGCUCUAACAGUUCUCUUUAGGAUUUUCUUAGUAUCAUGUCAUCUGCAAACAGUGAUAGUUUUACUUCUUUUCUAAUUUGGAUUCCUUUUAUUUCUUUUUCUUCUCUGAUAGCCAUGGCUAGGACUUCCAAAACUAUGUUGAAUAACUUUGGUGAAAGUGGACAUCCUUGUCUUGUUCCUAAUCUUAGUGAAAAUGCUUUCAGGUUUUCACCAUUGAGAGUGAUGUUAGCUGUGGGUUUGUCAUAAACAGCUUUUGAUUAUAUUGAGGUAGUUCCUCUCUAUGCCCACUCUUCAGAGAGUUUUUAUCAGUGGGAGUUGAAUUUUGUCAAAAGCCUUUUCUGAAUCUGUUGAGAUGAUCAUAUGAUUUUUAUUUUUCAAUUUGUUGAUGGUGGUAUAUCACACUGAUAGAUUUGUGGAUACUGAAGAAUCUUUGCAUCCCUGGGAUAAAUCCUACUUGAUCAUGGUGUAUGAUCUUUUUAAUAUAUAUUUAGAUUUGGUUAACUAAUAUUUUGUUAAGGAUUUUUGCAUCUAUGUUCAUCAGUGAUAUUGGCCUAUGAUUUUCUUUUUUGUGUCUGUUAUUUUUGUCUGGUUUUGGUAUCAGGUUGAUUGUGCUUCAUAGAAUGAAUGAUACUUAUGUUUAGAAGGGAUGUUAGUCUGUAAUUUUCUUUGCCUGUAUUAUCUUUGUUGGAUUUUAGUAUCACAGUAAUUCUAGCAUCAUAAAAUGACUUGGGAGUGUUCCCUUUUUUUCUGCAAGAAUUUAUACAUAGAAUUCUUUAUUGCAUUAUUUUUUCUUUAAAUGUUUGGCACAGUUAACAUUUGAAGCCAUUUGGACCUGGUGUUAUCUUGGUGGGGAGAUUCUUAAAUGCAUAUUAAUUCAUUUUUUUUUAAAUGAGCAUAGGGCUAGUCAGGCUAUAUUUUUUUACAGAGAACUUUGGUAGUUGUGUCUUUCAAGGAAUUUGUUCAUUUCAUCUGUGUUACCAAAUAUAUUAGCAUAAAGUUAUUUACAGUAUCCCUUUAUUAUUCUUUUAAUGUCUCUAGGAUCUGUAGUUAUGUCUCUUCUUUAAUGACGGUAAUUUAUGUCUUUUCUGUUGUAUUCUUGCUCAGUCUGGUUAGAGAUUUAUCAAAUAUUGACUCCCAGAGAACCAGCUUUUGAUUUCAGUGAUUUACACAUUCAUCAUUUUCCUGUCUUCAUUUUCAGUGAAUUUUACUCUUAUCUUUAUGCUUUUCUUUGACUUGAUUUUGAUUUAAUUUUCUUUUCUUGGUUUCUUAAGGUGGGUGCUUAAGUUGUUGAUUAUAAACCUUUUUUCUUUAAUUCUGUGAACAUUUAGAUGCUAUUCAUUUUCCUCAAAGUAGUGUGUGGUUGUUUCCCAUGUGUUUUGAUAUGUUGUUUUAGCUUUUAUGACAUUCAAAAAAUUUUCUAAUUUUCCUGAUAAUUUGACCUUUGACCCAUGAAUUAUUUGGAAGUGGGUUUUUAUAAAUAUUUGAACAUUUUCUAAAUUUUUUUUCUGUUAUUGAGUUCUAAAUUAAUUAACAUUUUUGUAUGAUUUUAAUUAUUUUAAAUUUGUUAAAGUUUAUUUUGUAGCUCAGAACAUGGUCUAUCUUGGGGAAUGUUUCAUAUGCACUUAAAAAUGUGUAUUCCACAGUUCCCCUUGUGGCACAGCAGAAACGAAUCUGAAUAGGAACCAUAAGGUUGCAAGUUCGACCCCUGGCCUCGCUCAGUGGGUUAAGGAUCCUGCAUUGCUGUGAGCUGUGGUGUAGGCUGCAGAUCCUGCAUUGCUGUGGCUGUGGCAUAGGCUGGCAGCUGUAGCUCUGAUUAAACCCCUAGCCUGGGAACCUCCAUAUGCUGUGAGUGUGGCCCCAUAAAA